AAUGUUUGACACACAAAAUUGCCAUUAUCGUUAUUAACGUUUUAUUGUUGCAUCAUCUAUGAGUAUUUAUGAUGGAGGAAACUGAUUUAGACUAGGGGCACAUUGAAUUCUUUGGAGGGACUUCAGGGAGGUAUCUUAAGAGCCGUGAGAGAGUCUCAGGGGGCAGUGAAGACUCCCUCACUGCUGGAACAAUGCUGUGGGCUCACCCUAGGCCUUCAGGAGGGGAGAGAGAUGUGCAAGGAGGAACUCCAUGGUGGUUCUUCUUUUGCUAGUGUUUGUGCUACUUCCCCACUUCUAAACAGGUGCAUAGUACUCCAGAGCACCCUUUCAUCUUCCUUUCCCACUCUUCUGUUCUGUUUUUCUUCUCUUCAACUCUUCUUAUUUCCCUUUUCUCCUCAAAACCAAGUGGUGGAUGGGUAAGGAACUAUACUAUCUUUUGUGUGUUCUAACUUUGCCGUUUUUUUUUGUUUGUUUUUUUUUUUAAUCUUAAAGGUUGUCUUCUAACUUCAGCACUCAGAGUUUACAUAAGUAAGCCUGGGUUUACCCUACCCACUUCUUCCCUUAUUUUUAAAAUAUCUAUUUCCCCAACCAUUGUCUUUAGUAAGUACUCUAAAAUGACAGUCAUCAGCAGAAACGCAAGGAUUCCAGGCCAUAAGAGUUUGAUCAAGAAAGGAUUUUUUGAGGUAGCUAUAUCUUGCAAAAGAAACAGAGGUGUGAACUGUCUGCAGGGCUCUUCUCGGCAAUGAGGUGUUCCUUCUGGAUUCAGAUAUAGAUCUUAAUGGGGUAAACAUUCUAGGUCUUACCACCAUCUGUUCUUCUUUUUCUGCUUAGACUGUUAGUACCUGUUAUAAGAGGAAAGGAGGCAAAAGUGUGAAAGAGAAAUGGUUGGAUCAGUGGUCUGAGAAAGAGGAUAAAGUAGUCAUGUGACAUUAUUCUUAACAGAGAUUAGAAUGAUUAAAAACAAAAACAAGUUGGUAUCCAGGAUAUUCAGGUACAACCACCCCUCACCUGCUGAUUCCAAUUUCACAUUCCAUUCCACAUUGAUGAAUAAUAAUAAUGAUGUACUUUUAGCUUUGUCAGAAAUCCUAUCUGCAUAUUUAUAAGGUCAUUAUGUUUAGUUGUUGCUGAUACCUGGUCUGAGUCCAGCAAUUACCACCUCUGUCUCUUUGCACACACUGGUAGACAUACACACCACUGAUUUGUACUUUCCUAUAAAAUUACUCUUCCCCUUUUUAAUUAGAGUGUUUUCAGAAGCAAACCCUAUCGUUAAGGCCAUGUAUGCUUCCAUUAUAAAUACCUGUUUCCAGCCAUUAAUUAUCUCCCAAUGAAUUACUUACUUAGAAGGAGAUUUUUAAUGCAUUUUUUUUUUUUUUUUUGGAGACAGGGUCUCACUUUGUCACCCAGACUGGAGUGGUGGAGUGGUGUGAUCAUGGCUUACUGCAGUCUUGACUUCUCAGGCACAGGUGAUUCUUCCACCUCAGACUCCUGAGUGGCUGGGACCAUAGGCGUGCACCACCAUGCCCAGCUAAUUUUUGUAUUUUUUGUAGAGUUAGGGUUUCAACAUGUUGCCCAGGCUGGUCUUGAACUCCUAGCCUCAAGCAAUCCUCCCGUCUUGGCCUCCCAAAGUGCUGGGAUUACAGGUGUGAAUCAUUGUGCCUGGCCUGUGCACACUUUUUAUAAUGGGAUUUCUCUUCCUUACUUUUGAUGUCCCCUCUCUCAUACUUAGUUAACCAUUUUGAAUUCCACUUAGUAAGAAAAGUUUCCAUUUUCUUUUUCUUCAGGGGACUUAGAUAUGAUCUGCACCUAGAUGGUAAGAAGAUUUUCCAUAUUUUGAAGUAGAAACUUUCUGUAUGCCUGAAUCUUGCUGUCAAGAAUGUCUUGGCUAAUCAUGAAGGAAGAAUAUAAGAAUUUACAGUGGGUCAGCUUGUUCUGUGCUAACAUGGAAGUGACAAGAAGCUGGUGUCCCUCUACACAGAGGUCCCCACACUAAAUAUCAUCUUGGAUGUGCUUCACAUUGUUGCACAAAGGUACAGUGGAGUGAGACUGAGUAAGAGGACAGAAAUAGUGGGGGGUUUGUCUCAGCUCACUAAUUACUUAUUUAACCUUGGGCAAGAUACUUAAAGCUCUAUCUCAGUU
rnacentral:lncRNA from 10 species